rnacentral:rRNA from 1 species
ACAUGAACAACACUUGGAUGUGAGUUAGUCGAUCCUAAAACGGUGGGUUAACUCCAAAUACAUAGAUACUUGUAUCUUGUACCGUGAAAGGGAAACAGGUUAAUAUUCCUGUACUAUAUCAAGGAGGUAAAGUGGCAACACAAAUGAACUCAAAUACAUCAGUAGAAUAACCAGGAAGAGUUCUCUUUUCUUUUUAACGACUUCCUCGCAAGGGGUGUAUAAUGACCAUGGAAUCAAUUUAGUUGGAGAAAUGGUUAAAGAGUCGGUAGAGUAAAUCAAUUUUCUGAUUUAUCUGGUUAGGUUCUAAUGGUACAUAAAAAUUUGAGGGAAUGAUCUUACUUGAAUAGUCGUACUCAUAACCGCAGCAGGUCUCCAAGGUUAGAAGCCUCUAGUUGGCAGAAUAAUGUAGGUAAGGGAAGUCGGC